CAAUAAGCGGAGGAAAGAAAAUAACAAUGAUUUCCCUAGUAACGGCGAAGUGAAGAAGGAAAGAAGCUCAAAGUUGGAAACUGUUUGGCUUAGCUAAACCGUAUUGUAAACUGUAGAAACAUUUUCCUGGCACACCAGAUUAAUAAGUCCUUUGGAACAAGGCAUCAUGGAGGGUGAGAAUCCCGUCUUUGAUCUGAGUAGUUGUCUUUUGUGAUAUGUUUUCAAAGAGUCAGGUUGUUUGGGAAUGCAGCCUAAAUUGGGUGGUAAAUCUCACCUAAAGCUAAAUAUCUGCGAGAGACCGAUAGCGAACAAGUACCGUGAGGGAAAGAUGAAAAGAACUUUGAAAAGAGAGUUAAACAGUAUGUGAAAUUGUUAAAAGGGAACCGUUUGGAGCCAGACUGGUUUGACUGUAAUCAACCUAGAAUUCGUUUUGGGUGCACUUGCAGUCUAUACCUGCCAACAACAGUUUGAUUUGGAGGAAAAAAUUAGUAGGAAUGUGGCCUUUCGAGGUGUUAUAGCCUAUUAUCAUACUCUGGAUUGGACUGAGGAACGCAGCGAAUGCCUUUAGGCGAGAUUGCUGGGUGCUUUCGCUAAUAAAUGUUAGAAUUUCUGCUUCGGGUGGUGCUAAUGUUUAAAGGAGGAACACAUCUAGUAUAUUUUUUAUUCGCUUAGGUUGUUGGCUUAAUGACUCUAAAUGACCCGUCUUGAAACACGGACCAAGGAGUCCACCAUAAGUGCAAGUAUUUGAGUGACAAACUCAUAUGCGUAAGGAAACUGAUUGAUACGAAGUCUUUUGAUGGCAGUAUCACCCGGCGUUGACGUUUUAUACUGAACUGACCGAGGUAAAGCACUUAUGAUGGGACCCGAAAGAUGGUGAACUAUGCCUGAAUAGGGUGAAGCCAGAGGAAACUCUGGUGGAGGCUCGUAGCGAUUCUGACGUGCAAAUCGAUUCGUCAAAUUUGGGUAUAGGGGCGAAAGACUAAUCGAACCAUCUAGUAGCUGGUCUG
rnacentral:rRNA from 1 species